rnacentral:rRNA from 1 species
CAAGUAUCACCGACGGGGUAAAGCACUGUUAUGGCUAGGGGUCAUCGCGACUUACCCAAACCAUUGCAAACUCAGAAUACCGUUGAGUGCGAGCUUGGGAGACAGACAUCGGGUGCUAACGUCCGGUGUCGAAAGGGAAACAACCCAGACCGCCGAUUAAGGUCCCGAAGCCAUAGUUAAGUGGGAAACGAGGUGGGAAGGCUUAGACAGCCAGGAGGUUGGCUUAGAAGCAGCCAUCCUUUAAAGAAAGCGUAAUAGCUCACUGGUCGAGUCGUCCUGCGCGGAAGAUGUAACGGGGCUCAAACUAUGCACCGAAAUCGCGGAUAUCCGUAAGGAUAUGGUAGGAGAGCGUUCUGUAAGCCGAUGAAGGUGUCUUGAGAAGGAUGCUGGAGUAUCAGAAGUGCGAAUGCUGACAUGAGUAGCGAUAAAAGGGGGUGAAAGCUCCCUCGCCGAAAGCCAAGGUUUCCUGCGCAACGUUCAUCGGCGCAGGGUGAGUCGGCCCCUAAGGCGAGGCUGAAAAGCGUAGUCGAUGGGAAACAGGUCAAUAUUCCUGUACCUCUUGGUAAUGCGAUGGGGGGACGGAGAAGGUUAGGUCAGCCGGGUGUUGGACGUCCCGGUUCAAGCGUGUAGGCAGACCUCUUAGGCAAAUCCGGGGGGUCAAUGCUGAGGCGUGAUAACGAGUGGUCUUGUACCGCGAAGUGAUUGAUACCAUGCUUCCAAGAAAAGCCUCUAAGCUUCAGUUACAAGGAGACCGUACCGCAAACCGACACAGGUGGGCAGGAUGAAAAUUCUAAGGCGCUUGAGAGAACUCAGGAGAAGGAACUCCGGCAAAUUUGCACCGUAACUUCGGGAAAAGGUGCGCCCUGAUAGGUUGUAGCCCCUCGCGGGUGAAGGCUGAAAGGGUUGCAGUGAAAUGGUGGCUGCGACUGUUUAAUAAAACACAGCACUCUGCAAACACGAAAGUGGACGUAUAGGGUGUGACGCCUGCCCGGUGCCGGAAGGUUAAGUGAUGGGGUGCAAGCUCUUGAUCGAAGCCCUGGUAACGGCGGCCGUAACUAUAACGGUCCUAAGGUAGCGAAAUUCCUUGUCAGGUAAGUUCCGACCUGCACGAAUGGCGUAACGAUGGCCACACUGUCUCCUCCUGAGACUCAACGAAGUUGAAGUGGUUGUGAAGAUGCAAUCUCCCCGCGGUUAGACGGAAAGACCCCAUGAACCUUUACUGUAGCUUUGCAUUGGACUUUGAACCGACUUGUGUAGGAUAGGCGGGAGGCAUCGAAGCUGGGACGCUAGUUUCAGUGGAGCCAACCUUGAAAUACCACCCUGGUGUGUUUGAGGGUUCUAACCACGGCCCGUGAAUCCGGGUCUGGGACCGUGCAUGGUAGGCAGUUUGACUGGGGCGGUCUCCUCCUAAAGUGUAACGGAGGAGUACGAAGGUACGCUAGGUACGGUCGGACAUCGUGCUAAUAGUGCAAUGGCAAAAGCGUGCUUGACUGCGAGACCCACACGUCGAGCAGGUACGAAAGUGGGUCAUAGUGAUCCGGUGGUUCUGUAUGGAAGGGCCAUCGCUCAACGGAUAAAAGGUACUCUGGGGAUAACAGGCUAAUACCGCCCAAGAGUUCAUAUCGACGGCGGUGUUUGGCACCUCGAUGUCGGCUCAUCACAUCCUGGGGCUGUAGUCGGUCCCAAGGGUAUGGCUGUUCGCCAUUUAAAGUGGUACGUGAGCUGGGUUUAAAACGUCGUGAGACAGUUUGGUCCCCUAUCUGCCGUGGGCGCUGGAAAUUUGAAGGGGCUGCUCCUGGUACGAGAGGACCGGAGUGGACGAACCUCUGGUAUACCGGUUAUGACGCCAGUCGUAUUGCCGGGUAGCUAAGUUCGGAAGAGAUAAACGCUGAAAGCAUCUAAGCGUGAAACUCGCCUUAAGAUGAGAUUUCCUGGGGACUUGAUCCCCCUGAAGGGUCGUGGUAGACCACCACGUUGAUAGGCUGGGUGUGGAAGCGCAGCAAUGCGUUAAGCUAACCAGUACUAAUUGCCCGUGAGGCUUGAUCCU